UACCUUUUACCUUUUGUCCUGUCCUUUGUAUUUUCCCUUUGUCUUUCUUCUUCCUUUCCCCUUAAGAUUUGCUGUUAAACCAAACUUCUAAGUAGUUUAAUUUAAAAAUGAAGUUUUGUAAGUAAAAUGUACUUACCUGGUUUUCUGUAUCAUGUGACUAGGCAAAGGCCCCAGUAUUCGCUCCAUCAUUGCCAGGUGCUCUUUGCUGUCAUGGGUCUGGAGGAAAAAGAAAAAAUAUUUACCUUCAUUGUUAGAGGAAGUUACCAUGAACCACAAACCAACCCUCCUUCAGCUUUAGACUAUACACCUUGCAACCAAUAAUCCAUUUCAGAUUAAGGAAUAAAGAGAGCCUGUAGUUAUGUUACCUGAACUGAGUUAAAAUGUACUUUGUUUUUUCUUUGUUUUCCUCUUUUACCCUGCUUUGCCUUUUUUUUUUUUUUUUUGGUUCAUAAAUUUCACCUGCCAGCACUACUGUCAGAACAAGCGCUUUGCAUGCUUGAGUAAUACUGGAUGACUCUGAGAAGAAACCUUGUUAGUCUCAGUAGAGUGUGAUCCCCUUUCAUCAAGCUAGCUACACUGCUUACUGUACGUAACCUGUAGCCUCUUCCAAGAAAGCUCCUCUUCUCCUCAACUUGGCACCACAGACCAGGAUCUUGCACCCACUCCCCCAUUCCACUCAAUCAAUUUGUAAAGGUAUUUACCAAGUUGUGCUGCAUCUCUUUGAGGUUCAGGUACCUACCGGAAAUACAGUGAAUCCCAGGUAGUAUUCUAUGAGGAUACAUCCAAUGCUCCAAACAUCACAUGGCUGUGCCCAUCCUAGUGCUGUAAAAAAAUUCAGAAGCUUCUUUUUAUAUUGUUCUACAAACAGCUCAACAGCUUGAGCAAGCUGUAUUUCUGGAGCACAAUUCUAGUUAAAAGGUACUGCUUUUCAACAGCAUACUGAAAUCUUACAGAUGAAAUCUUAUCAACAUGACGGACUACACAAAGCUCAUUUCCACUAUGAAAAUAGGUAGUACUCCACCUAGCCAGGCUUACUUGCCUAGCCAGGCACAUUUGUAAACAAGACUUUUUUUU